UGUGGCCCGUGGGCCAUAGUUUGAGGACGCCUGGUCCAAACCCAUAGAAUGAACAUACAACACCAAGAAUGAACUCCAAUGUAAACUACACACUCUGGGUGAUGACAGUGUCAACGCAGGUUCAUCACUUGCAACACAUGUACCACUCUGAGAGGGAGGGGCAUGUUGGUAAUUGGGGAGGCUAUUCGUACGCAGGGGUGGGGCUUGGAGGCAUAUGGGAAAUCUCUGUCCUUUCUUCUCAAGAUCUUUAAGAUCCUGCUAUGACCUUAAAACGGCUCUAAAAAAAUCUAUUACAAAUCAGAUAGCACCCUAUUAUAAAAUUUUAUUUUUAAUGGUUUAAUAAUUUCCUCCUCAAAUUUUAUUGAAUUAGAAGCCACUUAACCUGGAAAAAAAGGCGUUUUGGUUGAGUUCUGUAUUAUCUUAGUAGUUAUGUUUCUCUAAUUGAAUCCUGGACUGACUCAUCUUGUAUUAAGUUAUCUAUUGCUAAGUAACAAAUUAUCACAAACCUAGUGACAGCACAUAAGACAUAUUUGUUAUCUCACAGUGAGUCAGAGGCCUGCGUACAGCAUAGCUGGCCCUCUGUUUAGGAUAUCGCAAAGCUCAAAACAAGAAGUGGGCCAGGGCUAGUCCCAUCCAGCCAAUAAGCCAGUUGCUACCCUCAACUCUUAAAGACCACCUGCAAUUCCUUGCCACGUGGGAGUCCCAACAUGACCAUUGAUUCCUCAAGGCUGGUGAGGAAGAGAGAAGAUUUGAUGUGAGUCUUGCUAGCCAGAUGGAACCUCAUGCAAUAGAACAUAAUCCCAGAAGUGAUAUCCUAUCACGUGCCAUAUUCUGUUGGUUAGAAGCUAGUCACAAGUCCCACCUACACUCAAGAGGAAGGGAGUAUUCGAGGGCAUGAACAACAGAGGGGAGACACGGAGCUCGCCUUAGACUCAGUCUACCAUGACAUUACAACUCUGAAAUCCUACUCCUGGGUGUAUAUCCAGAAAUGAGUACUUAUGUUCAUCUCAGCUACAAACAUGCUCAUGGCAGCUUUAUAAAGUAGUUGUCAUCUCUCCUCCAGGGCCAGCGUCCUCUCACAAACACUGUUUGAAAUUCAAACUCCACUCUUGCCUUCCACUCAACACUCCUUUCUCUGACCUUGUGCAUACUUCAUUCUGCAACCAAUCAAUUGUUCCCACUCCCAGUUCAAUGAAUACUUGCUCUCGAACACUGUAGCAUGUCUGCUUUCUCUGUUCCCUUGCAGAUUAGUCUUAAGAAGCAGAUCUUCCCCUUUAACAAGGGAAACACCAUAACUUAUAACAUUACCUCCAAUUCUCACAUAUUCACCUUGAGACAAAAGUAAUAUUAUCUCUGCUUGAACCCCCGUGUGAUCUCUUCAUUACUAUGUUCCUUCAAGUCACUAAUCACAAACAGCCAUAGCAAUGCCCUCAGAGAUAAUUCACCCAAAGGUUCUAGGCAGCUAAAGGUAAAGGAACAUUCUUAAUCCUCCGAGGCCUGAGCGCAGAGUGAGGAAGGAGACCUGGAAGCCCAUCUGAUUCUUUCUCUCUUGCUACCAGCCCAUCCUUCUCCAGGGAGCAGUGAUAGAGCAACUUCCAAAUAUUGAAACCCAACCUGCAUCACAGGCCAAUGAAUCCUUUAAAAGCAGUCUGUUUUGCAGACGGAGAGGCUAUGCUACCUGUGCCUGUCCACUCUCAGGCAAGCCUGGAUGGUACUUAUGAGAAGUGACAAUACCACAGGAGCACCCGGCAAGGGCACCUCACCUGAUUAGGGGAGGCUCCCCGGAGGAGGCGACACUGGCGCUGGGACCUGGAUGAGGAAGGUGACAAGCAUCAGAAGACUGCAACAUAAGAUAGGCUGCUGUGAUCAUCACUGUGUGGAAAUGCUGCUGGCUCCUGCACCACGUCAGAGCCCUGGGGCUGGCUGUCCACCCUAUACAUGGGUAUUGCUGUUCUUUGAUCCUCGUUUUCCUUUAAAUAGCCAUCUCCUCCCCUACUGAUGUCCACACCAGAGAAGUGAAAAAGAAAGAAGCAGCAGAAGAUAUUCCAGAUCUCUGGAGUUUGUUGUCACCAAUCUCUCUUUUCCAAAAUGUGGAAAGAAAUGUCAACCAAAUUGGUACUGGUCACAUAGGUCACAUCUGUAUAACUGAUCACAACAUCACCAAAGCCAUCAGCAGGAGUCCACCAGCAAAGAAACGUUUCACCAUUCAUCUUGCAAGGGACUGAUGCCAAUAUCUAAAAUGAUCCAUAUAGCAUCUCCUCACUGAGGAUCAAUAAAAUCCAGAGGCCAAGAGAGCGAGUGAGAUCUAAAUGAAGGCCCCAAGAACUUCCCUGCAUCACCAGGGCUCGGAGGCACAGGGAAGAGUUAAAAUCCAGGCCGCCCCAGUCUGCGUUCUCCAGCUGGGCCGGCUGAGCCCCCACCCAGGGCCCUGUAACACGCUCAGAUCCGCAGGAAGCUGCACAGCCCAGGAGACUUUUGAGUUUCUGAUCUGCUCCCACCGUGUGCCACACAGGAGGGGCCCCGUACUGUGCCACCUCCCUCGGGAGGGAGGAGGGAGAAGGACAGAGAGAGGUGUGCAUGGAAGCAGAAAGGGUUCAGUGGAAUGGAUCAGAAAGCCCCAGAGGUCCAGGAGAACUCCAGCUCCAGGCCUCUUCCCCGAAGUUGCUCAAAGCUGGGUGGGUGUGUGCGAGCGGGCAGGGCAGGAGCGCGGAGGAGG